GCCUGGUUAACAUAAAAGUAAUGUAACUGUUUUGUAACCAGUAAAAGCAAGCGCGAUACUUGCACCGGGCU
rnacentral:tRNA from 1 species